CAGCCGCCGCGGGAAUACGAAGGGUGCAAGCGUUAAUCGGAAUUACUGGGCGUAAAGCGUGCGUAGGCGGUUUGUUAAGUCUGUUGUGAAAUCCCCGGGCUCAACCUGGGAAUGGCAAUGGAUACUGGCAAGCUAGAGUGUGUCAGAGGAUGGUGGAAUUCCCGGUGUAGCGGUGAAAUGCGUAGAGAUCGGGAGGAACAUCAGUGGCGAAGGCGGCCAUCUGGGACAACACUGACGCUGAGGCACGAAAGCGUGGGGAGCAAACAGGAUUAGAUACCCGGGUAGUCCCUGUCUCUUAUAC
rnacentral:rRNA from 1 species